AGUGAACGCUGGCGGUAGGCCUAACACAUGCAAGUCGAACGGCAGCACAGUAAGAGCUUGCUCUUACGGGUGGCGAGUGGCGGACGGGUGAGGAAUACAUCGGAAUCUACUUUUUCGUGGGGGAUAACGUAGGGAAACUUACGCUAAUACCGCAUACGACCUACGGGUGAAAGCAGGGGAUCUUCGGACCUUGCGCGAUUGAAUGAGCCGAUGUCGGAUUAGCUAGUUGGCGGGGUAAAGGCCCACCAAGGCGACGAUCCGUAGCUGGUCUGAGAGGAUGAUCAGCCACACUAGAACUGAGACACGGUCCAGACUCCUACGGGAGGCAGCAGUGGGGAAUAUUGGACAAUGGGCGCAAGCCUGAUCCAGCCAUACCGCGUGGGUGAAGAAGGCCUUCGGGUUGUAAAGCCCUUUUGUUGGGAAAGAAGAGCAGCAGGUUAAUACCCCGCUGUUCUGACGGUACCCAAAGAAUAAGCACCGGCUAACUUCGUG
rnacentral:rRNA from 1 species